rnacentral:tRNA from 1 species
AGGUUUUAGGGAAUGCGCACUCGCUUGGGGUGCGAGAGGUCGGCCGUUCGAAUCGGCUCGCCCCGACCAG